AGACAAACGACGCUGCAGG
rnacentral:snRNA from 1 species